rnacentral:sRNA from 1 species
ACUGGGGGGGGGUGGCGCGGCGGCGGUGGCAUCCGCGGCCAUGGCGGCGACUACUGCCAACCCCGAAAUGACAUCAGAUGUACCAUCACUGGGUCCAGCCAUUGCCUCUGGAAACCCUGGACCUGGAAUUCAAGGUGGAGGAGCCAUUGUCCAGAGGGCUAUUAAGCGGCGACCAGGGCUGGAUUUUGAUGAUGAUGGAGAAGGGAACAGUAAAUUUUUGAGGUGUGAUGAAGAUCAGAUAUCUAACGAUAAGGAGCGGUUUGCCAGGUCGGAUGAUGAGCAGAGUUCUGCGGAUAAAGAGAGACUUGCCAGGGAAAAUCACAGUGAAAUUGAACGGCGGCGACGGAACAAGAUGACAGCCUACAUCACAGAACUGUCAGAUAUGGUACCCACCUGUAGUGCCCUGGCUCGAAAACCAGACAAGCUAACCAUCUUACGCAUGGCAGUUUCUCACAUGAAGUCCUUGCGGGGAACUGGCAACACAUCCACUGAUGGCUCCUAUAAGCCAUCUUUCCUCACUGAUCAGGUCUCUGGGACUUAUAGUUCUGAGAGAGUCUAGAAUCUGGGU